ACAUGAAUAGCCCAGUCGGUAGAACAUGAGACUCUUAAUCUUCGGGUUGUGGGUUUGAGCCCCAUAUUGGGUG